rnacentral:lncRNA from 1 species
AAUAGAGAGGAGUAGUCCUAUAAGAUUUAAGAAGCUAAGUCCAUAAGUCUAUGACUAUAGUAGUGUGCUUAAUGAAAAAAAAAAUUUAUUUGGUAUCACUAAUGGACUUGAGCUGAUCAGAUUUAUCAUAUGACUGAUAAUGAGAUUUGAUGAAUUAUCCAUGACCUGCCAUCUAGGUGAGACUCAUGAUAGAGAAACUAUAUCAUACAUUAACUAUACCUAAAGAUUCUAUUUUAAUUCUUUUAGGUUGCCAUUACAUAUUGCUAGAUGUCACUGGUAGAUUGUGAGAGCUCAAUAGA